rnacentral:tRNA from 1 species
GGUGAGAUGGCUCAGUGGUUAAGAGCACUGACUGCUCCUCUAAAGAUCCUGAGUUCAAAUCCAAGCCACCA